rnacentral:rRNA from 1 species
GACGAACGCUGGCGGCGUGCCUAACACAUGCAAGUCGAACGGAUUUGUGAGGUGUGAGGUUAGAGGUUAGAGGUGAGAAAUUCUAAGGAAGAAAUCGGCGCAGGCCGAUUUCAACAAGAUUCUCACAUCCAACUUCUCACCUCGCACUUCGCAAAUUAGUGGCGGACGGGUGAGUAACGCGUGGAUGACCUACCUAUAUGUGGGGGAUAACAGUUGGAAACGACUGCUAAUACCGCAUGUGAUCACAAUUAUAAAGGUUGUGAGGAAAGAUGGCCUCUGUUUACAAGCUGUCGCAUAUAGAUGGGUCCGCGUCUGAUUAGCUAGUUGGUAGGGUAAAGGCCUACCAAGGCGACGAUCAGUAGCCGGCCUGAGAGGGUGGACGGCCACACUGGGACUGAGACACGGCCCAGACUCCUACGGGAGGCAGCAGUGGGGAAUAUUGCACAAUGGGGGAAACCUCGAGUAGUCGACGACGACGACCGCCGGUCGUAGGUAGU